CGUGCAAAUUGAUUUCUAAACCUAUGGUAUGUUCCAUGGAAACCGUGCACCUAUCUUGUAACAAGAUUAGCAUUAUCUCCAAACAGAACGAACCGAGCUUUCACUUGAGCCUCUUCACUAGGAGUACUGUUGGUGCGUCCAAAAUGAUUUCUUAACCUAUGGUGCAUUAGACGCAAACCAUACAUCUAUCUUGCACCGAAACUAACACAACCUCCAAAUAAACCAAACCGAGAUUCCAUUUGACACAUGUCAUCUUGGAUUGUAUCGGGUGCGUCCAAAUUGAUGUCCGAGCAUAUGGUACGUUCUAUACAAACCGUGCACCUAUCUUGCAUCAAGAUUAGCACUAUCUCUAAAUGGACCAAACCGAGCUUCCACUUGAGCCUCUUCACCUAGGAGUACCAUUGGGUGUGUUCAAAAUGGUUUCUUAGCCUAUGGUGCAUUUGGCACAAAUCGUGCACCUAUCUUGCAUCGAAACUAAGACUAUCUCCACAAGGACCGAAGCGAGAUUCCAUAUGACACAGAUGGAGUUUUAUCGCGUGCGUCUAAAUUGAUUUCCUAGCAUAUGGUACGUUCCACGCAAACCGUGCACCUAUCUUGCUUCAAGAUUAGCACUAUCUCCGAACAGACCGAACCGAGCUUCCACUUGAGCCUCUUCACCUAGGAGUGCCAUCGGGUGCUUCUAAAAUUGUUUCUGAGUCUAUGGUGCAUUAGGCGCAAAACGUGCACAUAUCUUGUGCCAAAAUUAACACUAUCUCCAAACAAACCAAAGCGAGAUUCCAUAUGACACACAUCAUCUAGGAGUUCCAUCGGGUGCAUUCAAAUUGAUUUCUGAGCCUAUGAUAUGUUCCACACAAACUAUACACCUAUCUUACAUCAAGAUUAACACUAUCUCCAAACAAACCAAAACGUGCUUCCACUUGAGAUUCUUCACCUAUCAGUACCGUCUGAUGCGUCCAAAAUGAUUUCUUAGCCUAUGGUGCAUUAGGCACAAACCAUGUACCUAUCUUGCACUGAAAGUGACAUUAUCUCCAAACGGACCGAAGCAAGAUUCCAUAUGACACACGUCUUCGAGGAGUUGUAUUAGGUCAAUCCAAAUUGAUUUCUAAGCAUAUGGUACGUUCUAUACAAAUCAUGCACCUAUCUUGCAUCAAGAUUAUCACUAUCUCCAAAUGGACCAAACCGAGCUUCCACUUGAGCCUCUUCACCUAGGAGUACCAUUGGGUGCGUCCAAAAUGGUUUCUGAGACUAUGCCUCAUUCGGCCCAAACUGUGGACUAAUGUUACACUAAAACAAAUACUGUCUCCAAAUAGACCAAAGCGAGAGUCCAUAUGAGACAUGCCAUUAUAACACUUCAAAAUUUUUAAUUUUGGAUUGUUAUUAGAAAACACUAAAUUAAAUAAGGAUUUAAAAUUUUUCUAAAAUAUUCCAAGAUUUAUUUAAUUAUUGAAUUAAAAAAAAAGAGAGAAAAAAAUGUGGAAUUUUAAAAAAUUUUAUAAAAAUAAGUGAUGAGUGUUUUAUUUGUUAUGUGCUUUGUGCCCUAGCUUUGUUUAGCUUGUGUGUGAAAAAUGAAUUUGUAAAAUUUGGGCAAGCCAUGAUUAGGUCCUUCUCAAUUUAAAAAAAACAAUAAAAAAAACAAAAACAAUAAUAAUAGCGCU
rnacentral:lncRNA from 1 species